AUGAAUUUCCCCAACCUCAAGAAGCUCACCCUGUUUGACACUUCCAUCUCAGAGGACGUUUUCCACACACUGCCAUCUGGCUGCCAUGCCUUGGAGAGCUUAUACAUGGCCGAAGUUUGCGCUGCUGGUCGCCUCCGUGUUAGCUCGCCGACUCUCAAGACCAUUAUCUUCAGUCAUAGCUCUAGUGAAAUAGCAGAACUGAUAUUGGGCCCUUUCAUAGCCGCCGCCUCCAAUAUCCUACUCUUUCAGGGAAUAAGCUCGGUCAGCUCGGCAAACUCGAUGCGCACCGUCAAGGUUUUGGCUCUCAGCUCUUCUGCAGAUAAGUUGCAUGCAGUUCUUAACAUCCUCAGGUGGUUCCCCUGUCUGGAGAGGCCCCAUCUCACUUUUCGUAAACACCAUGAUAGGGAUCAGAAAAAUGAACCUCAGCAUGACCCACUACAUCCAAUCGAAUGCCUUGAGCCCAUCUAA
rnacentral:rRNA from 1 species